CAGCUUCUUUCUUAUCUUCCUUUCUGUACUGCAUGUUUUCCUUCUUUCUCUCUCUCAUUUAUCUGCUUCUAAUCUGCAAGAAAAUUAUUUCUGCCUCUGUCUAGCCUGCUCUCCUACAUUACAGAGCUGACCCUACCUCAAUUUGUAGCAUUUAUUCACUGCUCUUUUCUUUUUUUCCUUUUUUUUUUUUUUUUUAAUCUGCCCUUUCUAGCAGCGAGCACUCGGACAUCUGCUUCCCAUCACGGUGUGAAGUGUGAAGCAUCAGGUUUUUGUAGCUGUCCCACUAUUAAGUGAAGGCUGCCCUCCUCACCCUGGCCCGUGUCAAGGCCACUUCCCUGGGCUCUGCACACCUGAUUUGGGCUCUGCUCAUUGCUGGCUCAUUGUGGAAAUGAGAGGUUUAGAAAUGGAAGGAUUGAGGGGAAACCCGGCAUUGACUUCACAGACACAGAAUUGCCAGGGGGUUGGGCAGAGCUGGGGCCACUUUGUGUUCAGAUGGGCCCAUACCACAAGUUUGGGAUCCAGAUUUGGAUUUGGACCUGACGUUUAUCAGAGUUUGGGAACAGCUGAACCCAGCCUCUGAGGUCAGGCUCUGGAGGAAUUAACAGCCUGCUGCAAAGACCUGGAUGGAGUGGAUCUCCCCCACAUUUCAAGGCAUAGGUUGGGGAAAUACAAGGACAUUUUUUGACCUGUCUCUAAGGUAUUUCAAUUUUAAAAUGAAAGACUUUCAGUGAAGUGGGAGGCUGUGAUUAUUGUUGUGCCUAAAGGAUGAAAUUGCAUAUGGGGAUCUGAUUGACUGAGUGCUUUUGGAGAUUGUAACGAGAGACAGGAACUGCCUAAAAUGGUUUCCAGCUUAAAUACUUGUCCAAGGUCAAUAAGAAUAUCUGUGAGAAAGUAUUGAGAUCCCUGAUUUAUUAUCCAGUACUUUUACCACAAAAGAUUUGACUCAAUAUAAUUCUUGCCUUGUUCUAGAAGAGAAUAAAAUACCUUAAUAACACCA
rnacentral:lncRNA from 1 species